rnacentral:hammerhead_ribozyme from 1 species
AUCCAGUUGAUGAAUCCAGAACAGGACGAAACGCACGUCCUGGAU